GAUGAACGCUAGCGGCAGGCCUAAUACAUGCAAGUCGAACGGAUAUAUGUUUUUCGGAAUAUAUAUUAGUGGCGCACGGGUGAGUAACACGUACAUAACUUGCCCUCAAGCGGGGGAUAGCCUUGGGAAACUGAGAGUAAUACCCCAUAGAAUUAUUGGACGGCAUCGUUUGAUAAUUAAAACUACGGUGUUUGGGGAUAGAUGUGCGUCUGAUUAGCUAGUUGGUGAGGUAACUGCUCACCAAGGCGACGAUCAGUAGGGGGCGUGAGAGCGUGGCCCCCCCACACGGGUACUGAGACACGGACCCGACUCCUACGGGAGGCAGCAGUAAGGAAUAUUGGUCAAUGGAGGGAACUCUGAACCAGCCAUGCCGCGUGAAGGAUGACGGCCCUCUGGGUUGUAAACUUCUUUUGGAUGGGGCGAAAAAACGGGAUUUAUCCUGGACUGACGGUACCAUCAGAAUAAGCACCGGCUAACUCCGUGCCAGCAGACGCGGUAAAGUAGUCGUGU
rnacentral:rRNA from 1 species